CCUCCGGGAGAUCCACUCUCCCACCUGGAAACGCACGGGAAGCCAAGCCUCCAAAAAAGCGCUGCCUCCUCGCUCCGCGUUGGGAUUAUCCGGAAGGAACUCCCAACGGAGUCUUUGAGUGAUUGCAGUAUGACUCCAUUUCCCUGGUGCAUUCAUAUAAUAGUUCACCUGGUGAAAACAAUGAAGAUUAUUUACAAUGCUACCCUGCUUUUUCUGGUGUCCUGAACCUGGAAGUUGUGCUUUUUAAGUCUUAUGAUGUAAUCAGCGCGAUUUCACUUCCUGAAUUUCGAUGAAUUCUAAGACAU
rnacentral:lncRNA from 1 species